AACGCGAAAGCCCCUUCGGGGGUAAGUAGAGUGGCGUCCGGGUGAGUAACACGUAGGUAAUCUGCCUUCGGGUGGGGAAUAACACCUCGAAAGAGGUGCUAAUACCGCAUAAUGCAGCGGCACCUAAUGGUGAUUAGUUGUUAAAGCGGGGGACCGCAAGGCCUCGCGCCUGAAGAGGAGCCUGCGGCAGAUUAGCUAGUUGGUGAGGUAAUGGCUCACCAAGGCUUCGAUCUGUAGCUGGUCUGAGAGGACGGCCAGCCACACUGGCACUGACACACGGGCCAGACUCCUACGGGAGGCAGCAGUGGGGAAUUUUGGGCAAUGGGCGAAAGCCUGACCCAGCAACGCCGCGUGAGGGAGGAAAUCCUUCGGGAUGUAAACCUCACAAGCAAGGGAAGAGCGCGAGGGGGCAAAUAACCCUCUCGUCCGACGGUACCUUGCGUAAGCCACGGCUAACUACGUGCCAGCAGCCGCGGUAAUACGUAGGUGGCAAGCGUUGUUCGGAAUUAUUGGGCGUAAAGGGCGCGUAGGCGGUCGGUUAAGUCAGUUGUGAAAGCCCGGGGCUCAACCCCGGAGGGUCGACUGAUACUGAUUGACUAGAGUACGGAAGAGGUAGCUGGAAUUCCCGGUGUAGCGGUGAAAUGCGUAGAUAUCGGGAGGAACACCUGAGGCGAAGGCGGGCUACUGGGCCGAUACUGACGCUGAGGCGCGAAAGCCAGGGGAGCGAACGGGAUUAGAUACCCCGGUUAGUCCUGGCCCUAAACGAUGGACACUUGGUGUGUCGG
rnacentral:rRNA from 1 species